CGUUGAAACACCGGUUCCCGUACGAUCACCAAAGUUAAGCAAUGUCAAGCCUGGUCAAUACUUAGAUGGGUGACCACUUGAGAAUAUCAGGUGCUGUAAG